GUAGUCUCGCACAGAUGCAUAUCAAUAAGCGGAGGAAAAGAAACUAACAAGGAUUCCCUUAGUAACGGCGAGUGAAGCGGGAAGAGGCUCAAAUUUGAAAUCUUCAAGGUUUUACCUUGACGAAUUGUAGUUUAAAGAAGUGUUUUCUGUUGAAGUUUUGGUAAAAGUUCUUUGGAAUAGGACAUCAUAGAGGGUGAGAAUCCCGUAUUUGACCAUUAUUUUCAGCUGUGUGAUACACUUUCAAAGAGUCGGAUUGUUUGGGAAUGCAGUCCAAAAUGGGUGGUAAAUUUCAUCUAAAGCUAAAUAUUGGCGAGAGACCGAUAGCGAACAAGUACCGUGAGGGAAAGAUGAAAAGAACUUUGAAAAGGAGAGUUAAACAGUACGUGAAAUUGUCAAAAGGGAAGCGUUUGACACCAGUGUUGUUUUCUCGAAAAUCAAUUAAAAAGAGUUAGAUUUUGUUGUGUAUUGACCUUAACAGCUUGCAUUUCAAUUUUCUUGCUUUUUUUAAUGCACUUUUCGUUUAACAAGUCAACAUCAGUUUCUUUUGUUGUAAAAAGGUCAUUGGAAGGUGGCUUUCUUUUCGGAGAAAGUGUUUAUAGCCUUUGACUCCUGCAAUCGGAGAGACUGAGGUCUGCAGCGUAGAUCCUUCGGGGUUAGAUACAUUUGUGCUAAGUUAUAGCUUUUUAUAGACAACUUGUUGACUAUGAUUAGUCUUGUAGCUUACUCGCUUAUGCUAUUUUACCUACGCUUAGGAUGUUGAGCGCAUGUCUCUCUCU
rnacentral:rRNA from 1 species